rnacentral:rRNA from 1 species
GACGAACCGUGCGAACGUUGUUCGGAAUCACUGGGCUUAAAGGGCGCGUAGGCGGGCUGCCAAGUCUGUGGUGAAAUCCUCCAGCUUAACUGGAGAACUGCCGUGGAUACUGGCGGCCUCGAGGGUGAUAGGGGUCGGUGGAACUGUGCGUGGAGCGGUGAAAUGCGUUGAUAUGCACAGGAACUCCGGUGGCGAAGGCGACCGACUUGGAUCACUUCUGACGCUGAGGCGCGAAAGCUAGGGGGAGCGAACGGG